rnacentral:rRNA from 1 species
GUAGGUGGCAAGCGUUGUCCGGAAUUAUUGGGCGUAAAGCGCGCGCAGGCGGUUCUUUAAGUCUGAUGUGAAAGCCCACUGCUCAACCGUGGAGGGUCAUUGGAAACUGGAGAACUUGAGUACAGAAGAGGAAAGCGGAAUUCCACGUGUAGCGGUGAAAUGCGUAGAGAUGUGGAGGAACACCAGUGGCGAAGGCGGCUUUCUGGUCUGUAACUGACGCUGAGGCGCGAAAGCGUGGGGAGCAAACAGGAUUAGAUACCCUGGUAGUCCACGCCGUAAACGAUGAGUGCUAAGUGUUAGGGGGUUUUCCGCCCCCCUUAGUGCUGCAGCUAACGCAUUAAGCACUCCGCCUGGGAGUACGGCCGCAAGGCUG